UCUUUAGGGAUUAAAGACAGACUCAUUUGCUUAUGGAACGAAGGGAAGGAAGACUAUAAAGCCUUAUCUUACUUAUGUAUGUAGGUAGCCGACUUCGAAACAUCGAGUCUCGAGCUCUAGACGAAAUGAAGUCAAGCUAUAGUAAUUUGUACAAUAGCCCUGAGUGACUAUGGCUACCUGAACUGAAGGAGUUCCCGCAAUACCUGUGAACACUCGUCAGGUAGGCCUUCGGCUUAUCGAUAGUUCAAAUUCCUCAAGCUAGAAGGAAAAAGAACCAUAAAUAAAUAGAUUAUUAAUAUAAUGUGGUGGCGAAAGGUGGCACCAAGUGUCCAGUAGUCUUUUUUCUUAGAGGCUUUUUCUCUAUGGCAAUCUAGUCUAGAACUGAACCCGCUAAAAAAGCACUUUAUCUCAAACUGGCAAAAUAUAGCGGAAGUAGCUCAUAAAGUUCAUCAUCUAGAGGAGCUUACAGAAAUUUCCUUACUUCACUGACUUCCUGUCUCGAGUACAGGUCGAGGAAGCCCCAACUAAGCUAAGACCUAAGAAGCAGGCCCUCUUCCCUCACCAAAAAGCUGCUAUGCUACUCCACUAAUUUCAGUCACUGAAUCCGUCUUCUUUAGAGAUUUCUCACCCAUUCUCUAUGCCAAAUAUCGAAAGCUAGACCUUCCUUUUAGCCAAUCAAAGGCCAACCUUCAUUCCAGAUAUUAUGCCAUGCUUGUUCCCUUACUUGAGAUGGGGAUUUCUUCUCUUACCUUUGCUCCUGUCCAUGAUACCAGUAACGCCUCCUCUACCUAUUACUCAUCUUUUUGGCAUUGAAGUGAGCCUGAUGUCAUUCUUGCAUCAGUAAGUGCUGAUUCAUGUCCAGCUCAAAAUGAGGGUGGAUUCUCAAUUAAGGAGAUCAUCAUUUCUUCUGUAUGGUCUACAGCUCAAAAAA
rnacentral:lncRNA from 1 species